UACGGGGGGGAGCAAGCGUUGUUCGGAUUUACUGGGCGUAAAGGGCGCGUAGGCGGCCACAACAAGUCACUUGUGAAAUCUCCGGGCUUAACCCGGUAGCGGCCAAGUGAUACUGUUGGGCUAGAGUGCGGAAGGGGCAACUGGAAUUCUCGGUGUAGCGGUGAAAUGCGUAGAUAUCGAGAGGAACACCUGCGGCGAAGGCGGGGUUGCUGGGCCGACACUGACGCUGAGGCGCGAAAGCUAGGGGGAGCGAACGGG
rnacentral:rRNA from 1 species